ensembl:lncRNA LINC02278 long intergenic non-protein coding RNA 2278
AAGCGUCUUUGCCUCCAACUCUGUGGUAGGCUGGGAAUUAUGCCUGCGCACUCAAAUCCACUCUAUUUCAAUAAUUUUUCAGCUAAGGGGGCUCAACUGAGCAUCGUGACAAUGGAACAAGUAGAUGCUACUCUCAGUGUCCACUAAACCAUAAGUCCUUUGAGGAUACAGGAAGACAUCCACCAAUCUCAAGAUCAAAAUGUGAUAAGAGGAAGUCUGCAAGCAAAGAAGAUGUUACCCACCACCACCUCUUACAGAAAUGGCAGAAUCUCUGGGAAUAAUGGUUUUCACAAAGAAAGCAUUCCUAAUCACUCAGGGGGAACUAGGUCACCACCACAAAUUGUCCUCCAGUUAAAAGCAUGAACUCUUCUGGACACGAAUUCUCUUCUGAGUGUGAGGAUGCCAUGACUGUGAUACAGGGUAAAGUGGGAUGGAGUGCUUAAUCCCCAAGAAAGUCCAUCAGGAAUAGGAGAAGGCCAGUUUAAGAGCAUUUAAUGUUG